rnacentral:misc_RNA from 1 species
GUGCAGCUCCUAGACAAUACCAUGCGAAGUAUGCCUUUGUAUACUGAGCUCAGCGCUUCUGCUGUUGGGUUCAAUGACCUUAUCGAUGCCAAGACCAAUAAACAGAGCAUCGAGGAGAAGACGUCGAAUUUGCGCAGAACCAAGAGUGACCAUACUGAUUUCACUACUACAGCGGAUGAAUUUGGCGUGAAAGGAAGUCUCAACGCCAAGUCAUCGGUGGU